UACGUAGGGUGCAAGCGUUAUUCGGAAUUACUGGGCGUAAAGCGUGCGCAGGCGGUUUUGUAAGACUGUCGUGAAAUCCCCGGGCUCAACCUGGGAAUGGCGAUGGUGACUGCAAGGCUAGAGUUUGGCAGAGGGGGGUAGAAUUCCACGUGUAGCAGUGAAAUGCGUAGAUAUGUGGAGGAACACCGAUGGCGAAGGCAGCCCCCUGGGUCAAAACUGACGCUCAUGCACGAAAGCGUGGGGAGCAAACAGG
rnacentral:rRNA from 1 species